GACGAACCGUGCGAACGUUGUUCGGAAUUACUGGGCGUAAAGCGCGCGUAGGCGGCUUGUUAAGUCGGAUGUGAAAUCCCUGGGCUCAACCUAGGCAUUGCAUUCGAUACUGGCAAGCUAGAGUAUGGGAGAGGAAGGUAGAAUUCCAGGUGUAGCGGUGAAAUGCGUAGAGAUCUGGAGGAAUACCGAUGGCGAAGGCAGCCUUCUGGCCUAAUACUGACGCUGAGGUGCGAAAGCAUGGGGAGCAAACAGG
rnacentral:rRNA from 1 species